rnacentral:rRNA from 1 species
AGAGUUUGAUCAUGGCUCAGAACGAACGCUGGCGGCGUGCCUAACACAUGCAAGUCGAGCGCGAAUGGAGCAAUCCUAGUAGAGCGGCGCACGGGUGCGUAACACGUGGGUAAUCUGCCUGGAAGACCGGGAUAACCAUCCGAAAGGAUGGCUAAUACCGGGUAAGCCCCCGGGGACUUCGGUCCCAGAGGGAAAAGGUGGCCUCUGUAUACAAGCUAUCACUUCCAGAUGAGCCCGCGGCCCAUCAGCUAGUUGGUGAGGUAAUGGCUCACCAAGGCAACGACGGGUAGCUGGUCUGAGAGGACGAUCAGCCACACUGGAACUGAGACACGGUCCAGACUCCUACGGGAGGCAGCAGUGGGGAAUUUUGCGCAAUGGGCGAAAGCCUGACGCAGCAACGCCGCGUGUGUGAUGAAGGUCUUCGGAUUGUAAAGCACUUUCGACCGGGACGAAACCGUCGGAGCUAACAACUCCGGCCUUGACGGUACCGGGAGAAGAAGCACCGGCUAACUCUGUGCCAGCAGCCGCGGUA